AGAUCUCACAGCGAAUAAAUGACAGAGCCGUGAUCCGUUCUCACAGCUUUUACCUCUGCUUUGGAGGCACAUCUUCAAAGGAAUCGCCUAAUAAAACUCUGAUCUGGAAAAGGGUCACAGAUGUUUCUGCGAGGAUCCCCUGAAGCUCGUGAGAAUGUGGCCUCCAGGUGUGGAUUUCAUGAAAAAUGUCGGCCUCCAGUUCCUCGAGGAUGUGCCAACUCCACGCCGAUUUAAUUUCUUAGAGAUAAGUGGCAUUUGAGACCAUUCUUCUGAUAAGACAGAUUUUCGAUGUUGAUAACUUGUCAGUCUGUAUAUCCUCGUUAUAUGCCUAUUCACAAGAUCAAGUGGGCUACGGCAGAGAAAAAUACGCUGUAGAGUGCAGACUCUUUGAGGGCGGGGUCCAAGGUCCGUUCAUCCACGUCUCUUCCAGAACGUGACACGUUGCUGACACUUCAAGAAAUAUCAAGAAGCAUGAAGAAAUAGGGUCCAGAUUUGCCUUGAUCUUGCCCUUGUUCUUCCCGGGCUGUGACCUGUAUUUUCCCGCUGGCAACCCGCCAUUUCUUCAGUUCCCGCCAGCUAAAGGCCGCUGUGUCCCAAACCACAUCUCUGUGUAUUUUAUUCCUUUUUCUUCAAGGUCCGUUGCAAUUCUUGCUUCCUCAGGGAAAAUUCCUGAGCUUCC